CGAUGAGUAGGGCGGGACACGUGGUAUCCUGUCUGAAUAUGGGGGGACCAUCCUCCAAGGCUAAAUACUCCUGACUGACCGAUAGUGAACCAGUACCGUGAGGGAAAGGCGAAAAGAACCCCGGCGAGGGGAGUGAAAAAGAACCUGAAACCGUGUACGUACAAGCAGUGGGAGCACAGGUUUACCUGUGUGACUGCGUACCUUUUGUAUAAUGGGUCAGCGACUUAUAUUCUGUAGCAAGGUUAACCGUAUAGGGGAGCCGUAGGGAAACCGAGUCUUAACCGGGCGUUAAGUUGCAGGGUAUAGACCCGAAACCCGGUGAUCUAGCCAUGGGCAGGUUGAAGGUUGGGUAACACUAACUGGAGGACCGAACCGACUAAUGUUGAAAAAUUAGCGGAUGACCUGUGGCUGGGGGUGAAAGGCCAAUCAAACCGGGAGAUAGCUGGUUCUCCCCGAAAGCUAUUUAGGUAGCGCCUCGUGAAUUCAUCUCCGGGGGUAGAGCACUGUUUCGGCUAGGGGGCCAUCCCGGCUUACCAACCCGAUGCAAACUGCGAAUACCGGAGAAUGUUAUCACGGGAGACACACGGCGGGUGCUAACGUCCGUCGUGAAGAGGGAAACAACCCAGACCGCCAGCUAAGGUCCCAAAGUCAUGGUUAAGUGGGAAACGAUGUGGGAAGGCCCAGACAGCCAGGAUGUUGGCUUAGAAGCAGCCAUCAUUUAAAGAAAGCGUAAUAGCUCACUGGUCGAGUCGGCCUGCGCGGAAGAUGUAACGGGGCUAAACCAUGCACCGAAGCUGCGGCAGCGACGCUGAUGCGUUGUUGGGUAGGGGAGCGUUCUGUAAGCCUGUGAAGGUGGCCUGUGAGGGUUGCUGGAGGUAUCAGAAGUGCGAAUGCUGACAUAAGUAACGAUAAAGCGGGUGAAAAGCCCGCUCGCCGGAAGACCAAGGGUUCCUGUCCAACGUUAAUCGGGGCAGGGUGAGUCGACCCCUAAGGCGAGGCCGAAAGGCGUAGUCGAUGGGAAACGGGUUAAUAUUCCCGUACUUGGUGUUACUGCGAAGGGGGGACGGAGAAGGCUAUGUUGGCCGGGCGACGGUUGUCCCGGUUUAAGCGUGUAGGUGUGUGUUCCAGGUAAAUCCGGUU
rnacentral:rRNA from 1 species